rnacentral:rRNA from 1 species
UACGUAGGGGGGCAAGCGUUGUCCGGAUUCAUUGGGCGUAAAGAGCGUGUAGGCGGCCAGGUAGGUCGGUUGUGAAAACUGGAGGCUCAACCUUCAGAGGUCGACCGAAACCAUCUGGCUAGAGUCCGGAAGAGGAGAGUGGAAUUCCUGGUGUAGCGGUGAAAUGCGCAGAUAUCAGGAAGAACACCAAUGGCGAAAGCAGCUCUCUGGGACGGUACUGACGCUGAGACGCGAAAAGCGUGGGGGAGC